rnacentral:rRNA from 1 species
AACGAACGCUGGCGGCAGGCCUAACACAUGCAAGUCGAGCGAGAUCUUCGGGUCUAGCGGCGGACGGGUGAGUAACGCGUGGGAAUAUGCCCUUCUCUGCGGAAUAGCCUCGGGAAACUGAGCGUAAUACCGCAUACGCCCUUUGGGGGAAAGAUUUAUCGGAGAAGGAUUAGCCCGCGUUGGAUUAGGUAGUUGGUGGGGUAACGGCCUACCAAGCCGACGAUCCAUAGCUGGUUUGAGAGGAUGAUCAGCCACACUGGGACUGAGACACGGCCCAGACUCCUACGGGAGGCAGCAGUGGGGAAUCUUAGACAAUGGGGGCAACCCUGAUCUAGCCAUGCCGCGUGAGUGAUGAAGGCCUUAGGGUUGUAAAGCUCUUUCAGCUGGGAAGAUAAUGACGGUACCAGCAGAAGAAGCCCCAGCUAACUCCGUG